rnacentral:rRNA from 1 species
AGUCACUGACAUUAGAUACCCGCGUAGUCCCAGGGUGUAAACGCUGCAGACUUGGUGUUGGAAGCCCUUUGGGGGCAUUCAGUGCCGGAGAGAAGUUGUUAAGUCUGCUACUUGGGGAGUACGUCCGCAAGGAUGAAACUUAAAGGAAUUGGCGGGGGAGCACCGCAACGGGAGGAGCGUGCGGUUUAAUUGGAUUCAACACCGUAAAACUCACCAGGGAAGACUGUUACAUGAAGGCCGAGAUGAAGACUCUGCUAGAUUUUCAG